rnacentral:tRNA from 1 species
GGGAGCGUAGCUCAGUCGGUAGAGCAACGAAAAAGCCGUGUGUCGGUGGUUCGAGUCCAUCCGCUCCCA